UUCUUGUCUUCUCUCACGCCUCUUGAGGAUGUUUGGUUUUCCUCUGCUUUUUUGGAGAGGGUGUGAGGGAAGGCCAUUUUCUACAGAUUUGCAAUCCACAAGACUGCUCUGAGCUCUUGGGUUUAAAACCUGGGAUACUGACUAAGCCUUUGACUUAGGGGUCAUUUGCUCCAGUGUGCUCUCUCCAAAUGUCCACUCCAGAGGGCCUGCUGACCUGUCAGAACCAGCACCAAGGUGGAG
rnacentral:lncRNA from 1 species